GACGUUAGCGACAGAAGAAAGCACCGGCUAACUCCGUGCCAGCAGCCGCGGUAAUACGGAGGGUGCGAGCGUUAAUCGGAAUUACUGGGCGUAAAGCGCAUGCAGGUGGUUUGUUAAGUCAGAUGUGAAAGACCCGGGGCGUCAACCUCGGAAUUGCAUUUGUAAACUAGGCAGACUAGAGUACUGUAGAGGGGGGUAGGAAUUUCAGGUGUAGCGGUGAAAUAGCGUAGAGAUCUGAAGGAAUACCGGUGGCGAAGGCGGCCCCCUCGGACAGAUACUGACACUCAGAUGCGAAAGCGUGGGGAGCAAACAGGAUUAGAUACCCUGGUAG
rnacentral:rRNA from 1 species